rnacentral:rRNA from 1 species
UUUUGACCUCGGAUCAGGUAGGGAUACCCGCUGAACUUAAGCAUAUCAAUAAGCGGAGGAAAAGAAACCAACAGGGAUUGCCCUAGUAACGGCGAGUGAAGCGGCAACAGCUCAAAUUUGAAAUCUGGCUCUUUUAGAGUCCGAGUUGUACUUUGCAGAGGGCGCUUUGGCUUUGGCAGCGGUCCAAGUUCCUUGGAACAGGACGUCACAGAGGGUGAGAAUCCCGUACGUGGUCGCUGGCUAUUGCCGUGUAAAGCCCCUUCGACGAGUCGAGUUGUUUGGGAAUGCAGCUCUAAAUGGGAGGUACAUUUCUUCUAAAGCUAAAUAUUGGCCAGAGACCGAUAGCGCACAAGUAGAGUGAUCGAAAGAUGAAAAGCACUUUGGAAAGAGAGUCAAACAGCACGUGAAAUUGUUGAAAGGGAAGCGCUUGCAGCCAGACUUGCUUGCAGUUGCUCAUCCGGGCUUUUUUGCCCGGUGCACUCUUCUGUAGGCAGGCCAGCAUCAGUUUGGGCGGUAGGAUAAAGGUCUCUGUCACGUACCUCCUUUCGGGGAGGCCUUAUAGGGGAGGCGACAUACUACCAGCCUGGACUGAGGUCCGCGCAUCUGCUAGGAUGCUGGCGUAAUGGCUGUAA